UACAGAGGGGGCAAGCGUUAUUCGGAAUUAUUGGGCGUAAAGGGCGCGUAGGCGGCAUGGCAAGUGGAAGGUGAAAUCCCUCGGCUUAACCGAGGAACUGCCCUCCAAACUGCUUUGCUUGAGGCCGGGAGAGGUGAGUGGAAUUCCCAGUGUAGCGGUGAAAUGCGUAGAUAUUGGGAGGAACACCAAUGGCGAAGGCAGCUCGCUGGGACGUUACUGACGCUGAGACGCGAAAGCGUGGGGAGCAAACAGG
rnacentral:rRNA from 1 species